rnacentral:rRNA from 1 species
AUUGAACGCUGGCGGCAUGCCUUACACAUGCAAGUCGAACGGCAGCACGGGUGCUUGCCCCUGGUGGCGAGUGGCGAACGGGUGAGUAAUACAUCGGAACAUGUCCUGUAGUGGGGGAUAGCCCGGCGAAAGCCGGAUUAAUACCGCAUACGAUCUACGGAUGAAAGCGGGGGACCUUCGGGCCUCGCGCUGUAGGGUUGGCCGAUGGCGGAUUAGCUAGUUGGUGGGGUAAAGGCCUACCAAGGCGACGAUCAGUAGCUGGUCUGAGAGGGCGACCAGCCACACUGGGACUGAGACACGGCCCAGACUCCUACGGGAGGCAGCAGUGGGGAAUUUUGGACAAUGGGCGAAAGCCUGAUCCAGCAAUGCCGCGUGUGUGAAGAAGGCCUUCGGGUUGUAAAGCACUUUUGUCCGGAAAGAAAUCCUUGGCCCUAAUACGGUCGGGGGAUGACGGUACCGGAAGAAUAAGCACCGGCUAACUACGUG